UAUAGCCAAGCAGACACUGACAGAGCCAGCCAGCCAGGAGAAGCUCCAAGUGCAGAAGCGAAAAUGAGCUGCUACCCGUUUGUCUCCAAGUGAUGCACUACAUCCACGAGAGCAGCUUUGUGCUGGCAGCACUGCAGCAGCAGCACAGCCCUGCUGGGCACAGGGACGUGGCAGGGAUGCUAUGCCCUGCCUUGGAUGGCAGCCCCAGGAAAACACCCAUCAGAACCACGUCCUGCUGCCCCACAGGAGGGCUGGACAAGGGAUGAGUUCCUUCAAGGUUUGGGUGCUGCUGAUGAGGACACCUGCUCUGCAAGCCCUGAGCCGAUGUUUUCAAUGGAUCUUGACACUGAAUGGGAGAAAGGGCAUCUCCUGAAAGCAAAUCAGGGUGCAGGACCCCCGAAAGCAGAGCUGUCCCUGUGGAACAAGUUCAUCAGUGUGAACAGACACCAGUGGACUUUGCGUAAGGCUCGUGCCUCGAGGAGCUCGGUGGAGCUGGAAAGCGAGGAGCAGCCGCUCCUGCGGGCAGCUGAGAACAGACCCACGAGCCCUGAGCUCCCCGUCCUGCCCGCAGAACCCUCUGCAGCGCUGCCGAUGUACAGGUUUUCCAGAAGCAGAGCAGCCACUGGUGGCUUUGGGAGAAGCCAGGCAGAGAUGGGAGCAAACGGAGCAGGAAUGCCUGGAGAAGGUUGAGAUGCGGCACCCGCAGAGGUGGGAGUAGCCCCAUGGAGCCACACUGCCACUGUCCUGCAGGAGACAUCAGUGCUUCCCCUCUGCCGUGCCCAACCUUCACAGGAGCCCUGUGCUUCAGCUUCCUCCUCUUCUUUCUCUCGUGUUCAUCAUUCAUGUGCACACUGCAUUUCCUUUCUGCUUUCUCCCUUUUCUGUUCCUUGGAGAAGGCCCUGUGUGUUUCACCACCCUGAUGGGGCAGACAGGUUUUGUUCGAGUUGGUUUCAAUUGAACAUUUUGUGUGAAUGAGCUCUUCUCGCUUCUCCCUCUGUGCUCUCAGGUUCCCUUAUUAAACAGUUCUCUGC
rnacentral:lncRNA from 7 species